AGAGUUUGAUCCUGGCUCAGGACGAACGACCAUCUAGCGACCUCAACAUAUGCAAGUCGAGCGAUGAAACUUUAACAGAACCCUUCGGGGCGAAGAUAAAGUGGAUUAGCGGCGGACGGGUGAGUAACACGUGAGUAACCUGCCUUAGACAUUGGGAUAGCCUCGGGAAACCGGGAUUAAUACCAAAUAAAAUCAUAAUGACACAUGUCAUAACGAUCAAAACUCCGGUGGUCUAAGAUGGACUCGCGUCCCAUUAGCUAGUUGGUAGAGUAAAAGCCUACCAAGGCGACGAUGGGUAGCCGGCCUGAGAGGGUGAACGGCCACAUUGGAACUGAGAAACGGUCCAAACUCCUACGGGAGGCAGCAGUGGGGAAUAUUGCACAAUGGAGGGAACUCUGAUGCAGCGACGCCGCGUGAACGAAGAAGGCUUUCGAGUCGUAAAGUUCUUUUAUAUGGGAAGAUAAUGACGGUACCAUAAGAAAAAGCCCCGGCUAACUACGUGCCAGCAGCCGCGGUAAUACGUAGGGGGCUAGCGUUGUCCGGAAUCACUGGGCGUAAAGGGUUCGCAGGCGGAAAUGCAAGUCAGAUGUAAAAGGCAGUAGCUUAACUACUGUAAGCAUUUGAAACUGCAUAUCUUGAGAAGAGUAGAGGUAAGUGGAAUUUUUAGUGUAGCGGUGAAAUGCGUAGAUAUUAAAAAGAAUACCGGUGGCGAAGGCGACUUACUGGGCUCAUUCUGACGCUGAGGAACGAAAGCGUGGGUAGCAAACAGGAUUAGAUACCCUGGUAGUCCACGCUGUAAACGAUGAGUGCUAGGUGUCGGCGAAUGUCGGUGCCGCAGUUAACACAAUAAGCACUCCGCCUGGGGAGUACGUGCGCAAGCAUGAAACUCAAAGGAAUUGACGGGGACCCGCACAAGCAGCGGAGCAUGUGGUUUAAUUCGAAGCAACGCGAAGAACCU
rnacentral:rRNA from 1 species